UAUCCCAUCAAACAUUCUCACCUUGAUGGUCUCUAUACCAGCCACUUUGUAAGGAUGAUUAUCUCCUAGUGCCACACUCCCUUCCUCAAUUUUGGUGUAGGUAGAAAACUAAGAUCAAUUUGGUGUAUAGUAAUGAGAAUAGGCUAAAUCCAAUGUCCAGAUGUCCGUGUUGUUCUUGUAUCCAUCCGAAACCAUCAAGAAGAUAUCUUCCACC
rnacentral:lncRNA from 1 species